rnacentral:rRNA from 1 species
AUUGAACGCUGGCGGCAUGCCUUACACAUGCAAGUCGAACGGUAACGCGGGGCAACCUGGCGACGAGUGGCGAACGGGUGAGUAAUAUAUCGGAACGUGCCCAGUUGUGGGGGAUAACUGCUCGAAAGAGCAGCUAAUACCGCAUACGACCUGAGGGUGAAAGCGGGGGAUCGCAAGGCCUCGCGCAAUUGGAGCGGCCGAUAUCAGAUUAGGUAGUUGGUGGGGUAAAGGCCUACCAAGCCGACGAUCUGUAGCUGGUCUGAGAGGACGACCAGCCACACUGGGACUGAGACACGGCCCAGACUCCUACGGGAGGCAGCAGUGGGGAAUUUUGGACAAUGGGGGCAACCCUGAUCCAGCCAUGCCGCGUGCGGGAAGAAGGCCUUCGGGUUGUAAACCGCUUUUGUCAGGGAAGAAAUCCUUUGGGUUAAUACCUCGGAGGGAUGACGGUACCUGAAGAAUAAGCACCGGCUAACUACGUGCCAGCCGCCGCGGUAAAAC